rnacentral:rRNA from 1 species
GACGAACGCUGGCGGCGUGGAUUAGGCAUGCAAGUCGGACGGUAGGGCUUUAUCGUAAGAUAGAGUUUGAGAGUGGCGAACGGGUGAGUAACACGUAGGAAUCUACCCUUAAGACGGGGACAACCCAGGGAAACUUGGGCUAAUACCGGAUGAGAGUGCGAGAGAUUGCAUUUAAAAGGAUGGCGAAAGUUGUCGCUUAGGGAUGAGCCUGCGGUCUAUUAGUUAGUUGGUGAGGUAAGAGCUCACCAAGGCGAUGAUAGAUAGGCGGCCUUAACGGGUGGUCGCCCACACUGGGAUUGAGAUACGGCCCAGACUCCUACGGGG